AUUGAACGCAGGCGGAAUGCUUUACACAUGCAAGUCGAACGGCAGCACGGACUUCGGUCUGGUGGCGAGUGGCGAACGGGUGAGUAACAUAUCGGAACGUAUCCAAUAAUGGGGGAUAACUAAUCGAAAGGUUGGCUAAUACCGCAUACGCCCUACGGGGGAAAGCAGGGGAUCUUCGGACCUUGCGUUAAUGGAGCGGCUGAUAUCUGAUUAGCUAGUUGGUGAGGUAAAGGCUCACCAAGGCGACGAUCAGUAGCUGGUCUGAGAGGACGACCAGCCACACUGGAACUGAGAGACGGUCCAGACUCCUACGGGAGGCAGCAGUGGGGAAUUUUGGACAAUGGGCGCAAGCCUGAUCCAGCCAUUCCGCGUGAGUGAAGAAGGCCUUCGGGUUGUAAAGCUCUUUCGCAAGGGAAGAAAGCUUACUUUCUAAUAAAGAGUGAGGUUGACGGUACCUUGAUAAGAAGCACCGGCUAACUACGUGCCAGCCGCCGCAGUAA
rnacentral:rRNA from 1 species